GAAAAUCUGUUCACCGUCAGUCUUCUGAAGUCAAGCUGCUAGUAGGCGUGAUCUGUCAGCUAUUGUGCCAGAGUUGGCACUAACUGUAGCAGGGUCGAUAAAGCCAACCAUAUUGCACAUAUUUGCUCGUUUCAAAACAUCGUGCAAGUGCCUAAAUAUAUAAAAUAAUAUAAACAAGUCAGCACAAAAAAACACACGACGGUUAUGUAUAACAAAAC
rnacentral:lncRNA from 1 species